rnacentral:rRNA from 1 species
UACGAAGGGGGCUAGCGUUGUUCGGAAUUACUGGGCGUAAAGGGCGCGUAGGCGGCGUGUCAAGUCAGGCGUGAAAGCCCCGGGCUCAACCUGGGAACGCGCUUGAGACUGGCAUGCUCGAGUUCGGGAGAGGAUGGUGGAAUUCCCAGUGUAGAGGUGAAAUUCGUAGAUAUUGGGGAAGAACACCGAUGGGCGAAGGCAGCCAUCUGGACCGAACACUGACGCUGAGGCGCGAAAGCGUGGGGGAGCAAACAGG